GACGAACGCUGGCGGCGUGCUUAACACAUGCAAGUCGAGCGGUAAGGCCCUUUCGGGGGUACACGAGCGGCGAACGGGUGAGUAACACGUGGGUGACCUGCCCUCAGCUCUGGGAUAAGCCUGGGGAAACCGGGUCUAAUACUGGAUAUGACUCCAUGACGCAUGUUGUGGGGUGGAAAGCCUUGUGCGGCUGAGGAUGGGCCCCGCGGCCUAUCAGCUUGUUGGUGGGGNGAUGGCCUACCAAGGCGACGACGGGUAGCCGGCCUGAGAGGGC
rnacentral:rRNA from 1 species